rnacentral:rRNA from 1 species
UACGUAGGGUGCAAGCGUUGUCCGGAAUUAUUGGGCGUAAAGAGCUCGUAGGCGGCUUGUUGCGUCGCUGUGAAAACCCGCGGCUUAACCGUGGGCUUGCAGCCGAUACGGGCAGGCUAGAGUUCGGUAGGGGGAGACUGGAAUUCCUGGUGUAGCGGUGAAAAUGCGCAGAUAUCAGGAGGAACACCGGUGGCGAAGGCGGCUUUCUGGGCCUUACCUGACGCUGAGGAGCGAAAAGCUGGGGGG